GACGAACGCUGGCGGCGUGCUUAACACAUGCAAGUCGAACGGAAAGGCCCUGCUUUUGUGGGGUGCUCGAGUGGCGAACGGGUGAGUAACACGUGUGUAACCUGCCCUUGACUUUGGGAUAACUUCAGGAAACUGGGGCUAAUACCGGAUAGGAGCUCCUGCUCCAUGGGGUGGGUUGGAAAGUUUCGGCGGUUGGGGAUGGACUCGCGGCUUAUCAGCUUGUUGGUGGGGUAGUGGCUUACCAAGGCUUUGACGGGUAGCCGGCCUGAGAGGGUGACCGGGCACAAUGGGACUGCGAUAGGGACCAGACGCCUACGGGCGGCAGCAGUGGGGAAUAUUGCACAAUGGGCCGGAGCCUGAGGCAGCAACGCCGCGUGCGUGAUGACCGCCUUCGGGUUGUAAACCGCUGUCGCCUGUGACGAAGCGUGAGUGACGGUAAUGGGUAAAGAAGCACCGGCUAACUACGUG
rnacentral:rRNA from 1 species